CAUAAUACUCGCACCAGUAAACCAGAAAAGCACGCCUUCCUCUUCCUCUCCCUCUCUUCUACUGUUGCUGCUCAACUGGUUUUCAAAGAUCUUUAUCAACUUCAGUACUCAUCAUAAAUUUGUUAAGCUUUAUUUUCUUCCUAAUCUCAUAAGACUAUAUUCGUCUUCAUUAGAACAUCGUUCCCAUCUAUCAUGAGAAAAAAAACCAGGGAAGAAACUCAAAUCUUAGCCCUAAUUUCUAAUCAACACCAUUAAUAUUUACCCAACAACCAGUUCUUGAAAUUUCAAAUCAGAUUUCAAAUAUUCUAUUUCAAUUAAUUGCUUAGAACUCGAGCAAAUCUUGGUUGUGAUUGUUCAUAUUCAUUGUUUGAUGAAUGAUUUAUCAAAUUCGUAGUUGUUUGAUGAAUGAUUUAUCUAAUUCGUAGUUGUUUGUUUAAAUUCCCCCAAUUUGAGAUAAUGGGUUUGUACUAAUUUAAUUUAUGAAUGUUUCUGAAUUAAUAAAUUAAGUUUCUGAAUUUUAAUUUGGGUAUCUUUCUUAAUUAGGGUUCUUAAGGAGUUUUGUUUUUCUUAUUGAAUCGGUUGUGUUUUGUAUAUUUGCUUUGGAUUUGAAUUCGCAGGUAGGAUUGAAGCAUGGAAGCUGCUAAAAACAUCACAACAUACUCAUCUCCAACACCACCAGGUAAUGGCACAUAAUCUGUUCGAGAAAUGGUCUGAACUGGGUUAAGUCUAGGACUGAUUUUGGUUGAAUUUUGAGCUAGAAUUUAGUCCACGGAAGUGUAAUGCUGCUAAGGUUCUUGUGGCUAGUUGGCAUGGAGUUGGUGGAUUGUUUUAUAGGGUUAUGAACUGAAUUUGUAUGGAUGUUGUAAUGGCUUGAACUGGUGAUGUUCUGUGUUGUUGAUAUGAUGUUAAUAGAGGAGAUAAGGAUAGGGAUUGAGUUGGGUCGAUGAUGGCAGAAAUUGUGGAGUUUGAAGACGUAAACCAGUUGAAUGAAAGAAUAGAAUGAUGGUUUCUGGUGGUUGUUUUUGAGAAGAUUGAGAUGGGCUUAAGAGUUAACUGUAGCACAGAACUUGGAUAUGAAUUUGUUGGUGAUUUGGGUAAUGUUAUGGUCCGACCAUUCAACUAGAAAUGUGUCUGGAAAACUGAUGUACUUAUGACAUGGUCUUAAGUUACCAAAUUGGGCAAACAAGGGUGAUAAUCUUAUUUUUCCGAUGAUAGGUUAUAGUGUCUAUUGAUGCUGUAUCUACGGUCGCGUUUGGAGGGACUGGAGCUCGGUUUAGAGGGCAAGGGAGCGCAGGUUGUGGGUUGCUGGUAUCUUUUAGGCUAGGUUUGGCUCAGGAUUGAGGCAGUUUUGGAUAGAGGUUAUGUGCUGAAAAUCAGCUGAUACAUGUUGUUACCGUUUGAUUGAAUUGUCAUCCUAGGCAGCAAGAUUAUUCAGGGGUUUACUUGUCUUUUAUUAGGGGAGAAUAACGGCCACGUAUGCGUUAACAUGUUAGUUGUUUUUUUUGAAAAAAACUGGAUGGAAAAGUCAAACUAGUGUCAUUUUAUUAAUUAAACGGUGGCAUUUUCAUAAACAUGAAAAUGAAAGUGUGGCACUUUAUUACAA